AUUGAACGCUGGCGGCAUGCUUUACACAUGCAAGUCGAACGGCAGCGCGGGCUUCGGCCUGGCGGCGAGUGGCGAACGGGUGAGUAAUACAUCGGAACGUGCCCAGUAGUGGGGGAUAGCUCGGCGAAAGCCGGAUUAAUACCGCAUACGACCUGAGGGUGAAAGCGGGGGAUCUUCGGACCUCGCGCUAUUGGAGCGGCCGAUGGCAGAUUAGCUAGUUGGUGGGGUAAAGGCCUACCAAGGCGACGAUCUGUAGCUGGUCUGAGAGGACGACCAGCCACACUGGGACUGAGACACGGCCCAGACUCCUACGGGAGGCAGCAGUGGGGAAUUUUGGACAAUGGGCGAAAGCCUGAUCCAGCAAUGCCGCGUGUGUGAGGAAGGCCUUCGGGUUGUAAAGCACUUUUGGCGGGAACGAAAAGGACUGUGCCAAUACCACGGUUCGAUGACGGUACCCGCAGAAUAAGCACCGGCUAACUACGUG
rnacentral:rRNA from 1 species